AGCGAACGCUGGCGGUAGGCCUAACACAUGCAAGUCGAACGGCAGCACAGUAAGAGCUUGCUCUUACGGGUGGCGAGUGGCGGACGGGUGAGGAAUACAUCGGAAUCUACUUUUUCGUGGGGGAUAACGUAGGGAAACUUACGCUAAUACCGCAUACGACCUACGGGUGAAAGCAGGGGAUCUUCGGACCUUGCGCGAUUGAAUGAGCCGAUGUCGGAUUAGCUAGUUGGCGGGGUAAAGGCCCACCAAGGCGACGAUCCGUAGCUGGUCUGAGAGGAUGAUCAGCCACACUGGAACGGAGACACGGUCCAGACUCCUACGGGAGGCAGCAGUGGGGAAUAUUGGACAAUGGGCGCAAGCCUGAUCCAGCCAUACCGCGUGGGUGAAGAAGGCCUUCGGGUUGUAAAGCCCUUUUGUUGGGAAAGAAAAGCAGCAGGUUAAUACCCCGCUGUUCUGACGGUACCCAAAGAAUAAGCACCGGCUAACUUCGUG
rnacentral:rRNA from 1 species